rfam:Otolemur garnettii contig049346, whole genome shotgun sequence.
GGCGCUGUGGCUCAAAGGAGUAGGGCACUGGCCCCAUAUGCCAGAGGUGUUGGGUUCAAACCCAGCCCUGGCCA